AUGGAGAGUCAGACAGGCACUUGAUUACAACUAAUUCUCAAAUUCCACCUAAUAAUUUCUUGGGUGAUCCGCAAAAUCAUAGUAUAAAUAACUGAGAUCUUGUGCUAGCAAAUACAUCCUACAUUAAGAAUUAAAGCUGAAAGCGGCGGAUGGACUUGGACAGGGAUGGCUAUGGAGCAGGAGCAGUACUUUCUACUAAUAUCUUUUUGCGCCAUAUCCAGUCCUGAGCGAGUCUGGAUCUGCUGUUAUCAUUUCAGGAAAUGGGCAUUUGCAGUCACUGAAUUGAUUAUUCACUCCUGUAAGAACACCUUUACUGCUUUCUUAUUUUCGCAUUUUACUGACUUAAUUGAUAUAUUGUUUUGCAUUUAACUUGAAUCUUGCUUACCCUUGAACACUUGUUAACAACCUGUUCUUGACAUUUUCAACUUUUGCUUUCAAUGGACAUGUUGGGUUUUCAAAAGCUGUUUAAAUGAUGCAUUAUGGUAAAACUAAUUUUUUUAUAUCCAAUUUUCUUGGUAUUCCCCAUCAUUUAAGUUUGUUUUGAUGAUAUGAUUUUCUCAAUUUCCUAUUUUUGAUGAUUACAUUUUUAAGAAGAUAGGAUAUCUGCAAUGGUUGAGUGAAUUGUCCAAAUGGUCCCUGAACUUUACAAAUUGUUUUCAACAGGUCACUGAACUUUAGAAAUUACUUAAAUGGUCACUGGACUUUGCAAAAAUUUUUUACAGGGCCACUGAACUUUAAAAAUCACUUAAAUGAGCCCAUCACACUUUUUAGCAUUGCAAAUCGUCUUCCCCAAUAAUAGGUCUUGAAUGACACAGUAAGAAGGAAAAAAUUAGCGGUGCAAUUUGAACUUUUUGUUAAUUAGCUAAUAGACAGUAGAUUGCAGGAUAGAUUCGGAACAUGUAAAAUGUGGUCAAGUGUAAUCAAAUUAGAGAUUCGAAUGCUCCCUUUUCUAGCUACUGGAGAUAGAGAGCCGUCUGCAAUUUUAACCUUAAGAUUGUUAGCACAAGGUGAGUAUGAAACAAAUAGAUGGUGAGAAUCCGUCAUAUGAUCGAAUGUACUGAAAUCAAUAAUCCAUAGUACUUUCAAGAUUGAGGUGGUGUUAAGAGCUCUUAGGAAAUUACCUUUGUGGACCAAGGACCUUGACGAGCUAGGUGAUUGAAAGUUGGAGGAUUGAAUGCACAACUUGGAGUGAAAUUUUGUAUAUCAGAUGAAUUGACUGUAGCUUGGUAGCUUUGAUUUCUAGUAUUUAGUCUAGGUUUCCAAUCGGAUGGUUUUCCAUGCAAAUCCCAGCACGUAUCUUCCUUAUGUCCAGGUUUUCGACAGUGGUCAUACCAUGGACGACCCGUUUGUUGUCUUGGGUUGGAUCCAAAUUUUUUGGUUUCCCUAUGUAUUUGGGGUCCUGAAUCAAGCCCAACAAAUUUAGGCCCAUUGUAACGACCGGACAUCUCGCCCAAACCGUUAGUUUACGUACUGUCAGCUUUGGAUGGGCCUUGCGCCCACUUACCCCUCACGGCUUUCUAUCGUGUCCCCCACGAUUCGAACUCUUCACCUCUACAUAAGAGAGACUUAAGUUGAAUCCUGGUACAUUUUUUUGUAACGAGCCGGACCUCUCGUCCAAGCCGUUAGAUUACGUACUGUCCGUUUUGAGUGGGCCUUGCGCCCUCUCACCCCUCACGGCUUUCUAUGGCGUCUCCCAAGAUUUGAACUCUUGACCUCUACAUAAGAGAGACUUAAGUUGAAUCCUGGUACCAAUUGGGGCCGUGAGGAAUAAGUGGGCGCAAGACCCACCCAAAGCGGACAGUACGUAAGCUAAUGGCUUGGCGAGAGAUCCGGGUCGUUACACCCAUCAUGUGCAAUUUUUUAUUUUUUUUAUUUUGGCAAUUGCUCCCUUUGGCCCAAUCUCGUAUGACCUGUUAGGCCCAAUAGCAUUGGAUGAAAGGGCCGAUCCAUCAACACUGUCUUCAGGUCCAGAUUCUUCCUUCUUCAACAUGAUCGAUCGUCGGCUCUCUUCACGCCUCACUUCGGCAAAGGUGUCACGAGUGGGCGACGACUAGGGAUGCGGCCCCUCACAUCGUCAAGUUCCCUAUUUAACCCAGCCAAAAAUUCAUACACACGCUCGUUUUACACCCUUUUCUUGUUUCGAACACUGUCACUUGCACAAUCCCACUGUUCAUCGGUGCUGAGGUCCAAUUCUUGCCAUAAACUGGUCAUCUCCAUAUAGUAUUCAGUGACUUCCCUUUCUCCUUGCUUUGCCUUCCAUAAUUUUGUUUUAAUUUCGAAAAUUUUGGACGAGUCCUCUGCGUCGGAGUACAUAUCUCGAGUGGCGUCAUAUUCACCCAUAUGGUUUAUCUCAUAUUCAAAAAGCUAAUAGGAGCCAUACAGCCAUCGACGAUGCCAGGAACAGAAAUUCUACCAAUCGAGACCUACAUAGAGCUCCUAGUUUAUUUACAAAUCUUAUUUCAGUUGGUCAAUUAGUUGAUAACAAUUAUGAUGUCCAUUUCUCUCGUGAUGGUGUUCUUGAGCAGCAUCAAAUGUCGGGGAUGAUACUCGUGAAGGGGCCUAAAAUUGGACGAUUGUUUCCAUUACAUUUUUCUAUUCCUAAUUGCUUAUCUUUAGCCUGCAUAAAUGUUAACAAUAAAAGUACGAAUGUCAUUGUCUUGAGGUUUGAUGCAAUAAAGUGUCAUGGCUCCUGUAUGUGAAAUAGGACAGUGGCAUGGACAAGAUUAAGAUAACGGAGCUGUUAGAUUUUCUUUGUUUAAAUUUUUUAUUAUUUGAUGCAAAAAGUUCUAACAAAUUGAUAGCUACUAUCCAACAAAUCUGCAAUGAUGCAUUCUAUUUAUGAUUAAGUGGUGCAAGUUGCAAGUUGCAACAUGAAUAAUUCAUUUGGUAGACUAAUGCAGCUUGGAACUAAGAUAUAGCAGAAUGUAGUACUUGACGUGUUUUUCGAGACAUGUUAAUUACUUAACUUUGUUUUCAAAAUACUUAGUUUCUCAGUUUCUGUAUGUUUCUAGGUGAAUGUUCAUUGCUAGUUGUGCUUCACUCUUCAUUUAAUUGGCUUGUCAUCAAUCACAUUGAAAGUAGAUUCAUACACUUUAUUAAGAUAGCAUAUUGAUAUAAGGUAUAUUUUUCCUGUAAGAUACUGAAAAGGGUGUUGAGAAGAAAUUUUAAGAUCAUGUAAUAAUUAGUUGAUCUUGAAUACUUUACAAUUAUCGACAGUUUUCUUUGGACUAAAAGACGGUACAAUUUUCUGAUAGCUACAGGAAACUGCUUGCAAUAAAAUGAAAUCAAGUCUAUUGUUGAGGGAAUUGCAUAUGGGUUUAAUUUUACAUUUAAGUAGUUGUUACCUGGGAUGUAGAUUCAGUAGUUUAUGUAGAAAUGGAAGAUCAGAAAGAGGAUCAGCAUUGUCCUUUUGAAUCAUUUUACCUGCCAGCAAAUGCUAUGAUAACAGUUAAAAAUUCUUAAAAUGAAACGAUGCAAUUGAUGUCCUUUAACAUGGAGACAAAUCAUUCGGCAAAAGAUGCUAAGACAGAAUACUAUGUGGGUGAAAUUUAUGGUUUUUUGUUGUGUUAUUAUGAAGGAAUUGAUGCAUACAAUACAAUGACGUAUGAACGCUGACAGAGGGAGAAUACAUCAAUCUUUGUCACGAAUGCAGUGAGUACAUGUUAAAAAUAUUUGUCUGCUAAAUUUCAUAUUUGACCACUAACAUCCUCCUAGGAGCUUCUAAUUGGUCCUUAAAACUGGUCCUCGUAUUCUUCGUUGUUCAAUUUGUUUUCAUUUGCUUGUCCUGACACUGAUCUGUUUUUAUUUCCAUUUUACUGUUAUAAGUUUAUUUUUGAAGUGACUAAUCUUUCGUAUAAAUCGAAACGGCAAGAUUGAGGAUUUUAACUGUGUGAAGCUCAUGGCUAAACGGUUUGAGAAAUGUCAGAUUGAUAUUCUCAAGUCGGCAUUUGAAGAGUCGGAGCAUUUGACCAGAGAGAAGAAGAUUGACUUGGUGAGGACUGCAGGUCUGGAUAUGGAGCAGAUUGCCAGCUGGUUCAACAGGAAAAGAGCGUGUAAGCGAGCUCGGAAAUCCAUAGGGGAUUGGGAACGAAAUAAUGCUGAUCUCCAGCUAGCACUGGAGGAGAGUAGAGAGAAGGAAGCUGAGCUCCAAAAGAAGCUUAACGAGAGUAAGCAGAGAGAAGCUGAACUUGAAGCAGAAAACCAGAGUUUAAAACAAUCUCUAGCGAUUUCUGGAGGUGAUAUGCGGUUUGAUUCUGUACUUGGGUUUUGCAGCGGAUCUCCAUAGUGUAUUUGAUGAUCAUAUUUUACGCCCACGAAGAUAAAGAGUAGUACAAUUAAUCCAUUUUCCAUGACCCAAGCAAAGUUACUGUUUAUGAGUAUUGUGGUUCAGCAAUAAAAGUUCUCAGUUUAUUGUUUUUCUUUUUCCUACUUCCGCCUUAUAUCCUUUUUCUUUCCC
rnacentral:lncRNA from 1 species